UAAAUAAAUAAAUAAAUAAAAUAGUAAGUAAUAAAAACUGUGUUGUAUAACUUUAUUCAAAAAACUUUCUUUGAAUUACUACGGAAAUCACUACAAAAUAAAAUUGGAAAAUCAUUUCUAUUUUGAUAGUUUCUUUUAGUUUAUUUUAAAAUGGAUUUUUAAUAUUUAUUUACUAUUUAUUUGUAUAUUUGUAUCGAAUUUGUGUCAUUUUUCAUUUUAAAAUUGAAUUUAACUCUUAUUAGAUUUAUUAGUAGAUUCAUUCACACAAUAUCUCGAAUAAGAAAAAAAAGUAUCGCAUGAUCAGAUCACUCGAAAAAAUCAAAUCUUUCUUUUGUUUUUGUACAAAUAGAUUCUAAGACUAGUAAUUCCGAUUAUCUUUUUCUUUUCUAGAUUUUACAUUUUUUCCAUAUUAAAAAAAACUUCUUUUCUUUGUAGUUAAGUGUCAAGAAAGACCUUUUGGAUCUAAUACACGAAUACGUGCAUCGCGAAUAUUGAUUAUUCCAAUUAUUUUUUUGUUGUUCUACUUCUUUCAUCGAAUAUUCUCUACUACUGG
rnacentral:misc_RNA from 1 species